GGGUUUUGUCCACAGUUGCCAGCCCCUUUGUGGAUUUGGCUCUGAUUCUUGCUUCUUUACUUUCUUAUUUUCUUUUCCCUCCUUCCUUGCCCCCCUCCGUCUGUCCCUUCUUUCCUGCCUGCCUUGUACACCUACAGCGUCCCUUGUUACCUGCCAGAGUGCACAUCCUGCCAGCCAUUCCAGGGCAGGAACUGAGGCCCCAGGGACAGGACUCUGCACCCGAGUCCAUGUGUCCACCUGGGGCCCCGGGGCGGGGCGAGGGUGGAGCAGAGCUGAAGCGGCGGUGGGGGUGGCUGCAUCUCUUGGGACAGCUCUGUCCUGGGAGCCCAGCCUGAGGGGAGAGACAGCCCUGGCCUGAGGGCUCUAUUAAGGGAGGAGAUACCACAGUGUUCCAAGGAGCCCCAGCCUAAGUGGUGGGGACGGGUCCAAAGCUCUACCCCAGGCCUCCUGUCCGGGAGACAGUGCUACCACCCGUCACAAUUGUUCACUAAGCCCGUUGCAUUCUUUGAUAGGAAUAUUGAUGGCUAAGAGCUGAGGGCAAGGAAGCCAGGGUAGGGUGUGUAAGCGAGUGUGGUGGCUGCCUGCACCCCUUGAGGAGACUGGAACGGGGCCCACUCCACUGUGGUUUCAUCCAAGUGGCUCUUCUGACCCCACAGUUCCCCUGCAGCCAGCUAAGUCUCCUGGGCUGGGCUGCAACCAGGCAGGACUUUUCAAGCAAUCACCUGGAAAAUGCUCUCCUGGGCCCCAUGGAGAAGGGUCUUAGGCAAAGCCCUGGAAUCUAGGUUUCAGUUGAACUCCCAAGGGGACACAGAGUCAGGAAUCAUUUCUAGUAACACGGACUACUACUCUCUCUGGGUCACAGGUGGGGAAAGCGGUCCAGGAAGUUGCUGAUGGUCGCAUCAAGUCAGGCACUGUGUCCAGACCUUGAGCAGACCAGGGGCCGUGUCCAGUCCUGAGGAUUCGGGGCCAGUGGGGAGCGGGGAACGUUCUGUACCUGGCUCUGCUCCGCCCUCUGUUGGCUGGGCCCAGACCUGCCUUGGCCUGGCUUCUCUCCGCCCAGGUGGCCCCACUAUGUGCGGCCUCUUUCCUUUUACUAAUAAAAGGAGGCAGGUGCUCAGGUGAGCCUUCGGUUUGCUUGCGGCCCUGCCCCCUGGCUGCCCUUCUGGCUCCACAGCUCAGUACAAACAGCCGAGGGUCCCAACCCACUGGUUUUGCAGCCAGGAGUUAAGCCUGCAAGAAGGGGAAAUGGAGCAUGUGUUCCCACCUGAUGGAACAUGCCUCUGCUGACCCCAGAGGCCCCUCUAGAGGUGGGAGUGGUUGCCUCAGCCCCUGGGGCCACCCCCCAACCCUGCCUGCUGCCCCGUAGGCCUGGCCCCAGCUGAGGAAGCAGAGAAUUUGCCCCCAGCUGCGCAGAGAUGUGUGUCUGGGUGCCCGCAUUGCAGCACUGCAGCAAAGGGUGCCUGGCCUGCCUCGAGGAGACCUCUCCCUGCUCGGCUGAUGCCACGUUCUGUGUACCGGCGUGCUUUCCACGCAGCCCCAGCAGGUCUCCCUGUUUCCUUGUGGCCCCGAGGCUGACCUCCCUGAUGUGGGUCCUAAGCUUCAGCUGGGCCCACCCUGAGGCUCCUGCAAUACUUCCUCUCAUGCUGGUCUUCCUCCCGGGGACCCUUCUGGAGUUUGAUGACACGGACUUCAGUGAGGGAGAGCCCAGUGCCCCUUCCCCCUUGGCUCUGUGGCUGGGGAACCCACACCAGGCCCUCAGACCAGUCUAGAUCCACAGCCUCCUGCUUUUUGACUGCUGGCCCAUCCACAACCUGGACACUGGAGCCCCUGGGCAUAGAGGUAUAAUGACCCCCAGGACAUCACAAGCAGAGCCUACCGGCACCAGGCCCUGGCUCUCAGGGUUUAGCCAGGCAGUGGGAGUGUCCCUGGGCAGAGGGCUCAGUCCUGAGGACCCAGCUGUCCUUCUGCCUUGGCUGUUGGGGCCCCCAACUCGACUCAUUCAGGAGUCCUGGAGACCACCGCAGGAGGCUGUAGCCAGCAGCAGGGAGUGCCUGGUGUUUCUGUCCCUCUUUUUUGGGUGUGAAGGGCUGGGCGCUUUGGGGGGACUACAAAGUCCCUCUGUCUUUCCAGCCGACCAACAGGCCCAAAGCCCUGGUAUUGGUUGGGUGGCCUGUGUCCCAUUCCACUCUGUCCCUGGCUCCAGUCCUGGCCUGGAAUGUGGGUACCUUACAGUUGGAGGUCACAGAUGGCAGGUUGUUACAGCAUGGCCUGCCUGUACCCAGGGCCUGGCCACCAAGGCUCCCAUGCCCUUCUCCACUUCCAUGCACAUCAUCUACGCACCGCUCAUCCCACAACCCCAGCC
ensembl:lncRNA